UCAAUCCUGCCUGCUUUAGCUUCUUUAUUCGCGAUGUUUCGCUGCUGUCCGUGAGCGGACGUGACGGCAGUGCGGGAAUCACUCACCCAGCGCUGGCUGUUGCUACGCAAUGACAAUGCAGAAAUACACUCACUCGCUGCGGGUAUCCGAGGCUGCGGUAGGUGAGUUUAUCCUGUUGUGCCGACACUACAGGGAUCCUCUUCCUUUUAUAUACUAUGCUUCUGCUCCGUGCGCAAACACACUCUCUGUGACCUCGUUCCUCUCCUUUGCUCUCUAAGUCUCUAAGUACAUAGAGAAAGAAAAGCUGAGUAGGCAUUUUCACUCGUGAUUUCGGGCGAUUUAGAGUUGGAUUAUGAAGAUGGUGAAGUUGAAGAAAAUUUAGAUCAAGUUUUAGGCAAUAUUUCAACACUUGGAGGAGGAGUCAUUUAGAACUUCAGGAGUAGGAUUUGCGUAGCAAAGUGAAAUACGAAGUUGAAGAUCAAGGUAAAAUAAUUCAUCUUAGUAGCAAACAAGGAGGAGAUGACGUGAUUGAAGAAAUUGUGUUUCCAUCUUCGCGCUGUCCCUUUUGAGGUUGACUCCGUUCAUAUAGUACUGGUGACGGAAAUUUAUUCGAACUAUUUGGACUCUUAAUUGCAUUCGCAAGCACAUCCAUAUUGGAGCUAAGGUACUAUGGAAAAUUUAGUAGUGUACUAUGGGAACGUCUUACGCGACGGUCCAUUGGGGGUGGAUGUGUCCUUGUGCGAGUCGACUACAGUUGUAGUGAGAGACAUGGUCAAUGUGGGUUACGCAGCAGUUAGAAGGUGCAUCCGAAAGGUGUUUGGCCCAGGGAUGCAAGGGAAAAAAAUGACAAUGGAGGCCUUCGUCGUUGACGGAGGAAAUGAUGGGACAGUUGCCCGUUGGGGUUUGCGGCCGGUCACAGGUGAUCGGUCGUCGGGGUCGUACAUGAGGUUUGCAAGCAAUCCCAAUAACUCAAUGUAUGGUCAGCCGAUGGUGUAUGUAGAUUUCAUUUCAGUCACUGAUGUUGCCGGAUGCAGUAGCAGGGGUGGUGAGGUCGAGUUGGCCAUCACAUCAGCCCCUAGCGUCGGCCCAUCGGAACCGACGGGCGGCCAGCCUGUGUAUGACACAUGAUAUUGGUCUGCGACCGUUGACAUGAGCGAACACGUGGAGGGAUUGCCGGAGGCGCUAGAUGAUGAUGAUCAUUCUUCUGCGUCUUCGGAGUCAAGCGAAGAAGAAGAAGAUGUUCCUCCUCAGAGGGCGGUCGCAGCGGUACUGCAACCUGGGUUUUUACAGGAUAUGAGCAUCACCAACGAAUUUCACUCUGCUUCUGGCCUAGGAGCGGGGAGCCUGGAGGUUGGGCAAGUUUUCCCAGACAAGAAGUCUGCUUACCAGGCAAUGGGUAGCUAUGCAAUCGGCAUCCACCGCCAGCAUAGAGUGAAGCAGUCUGAUAAAAAAGAGUUGAAGGUCAUAUGCAUCCACACCGCGAAAGGUUGCCGCGGAAGAGUUCUCGCUAGACUGAAGCCUGGGGUAUAUCAGUCAUGGCAUAUCACAAAAAUAGUGGAGCAUACCUGUGAGCAAACUGGGACUCUUUCAGAUCACUGCAAUGUGACAGCAAAAUAUGUGGCACAGACAAUGGAAACAAUUGUGUAGGGAAGUCUCAACAUUAGUGUUAGGGCUCUGCAAAAAGAUGCGGGGGAUCUAAUUGGAUUCCCUGUUAGCUACAGUAAGGCUAGGCGUGCGAAGGAAAAUAUAUUCAAGAACUUGUAUGGUACCUAUGAGGCGGGUCACAGGAUAUGAUGCAUACACCCAAGGUGAGGGAUCUCAGCCGUAUCUUUCCACGCGAGGGAUCCCCAUGCCCGAGGAGACUCGUGUACCAGAUUUAAACCAGCACCACGUACAAUGGCCAGACCGUAUAGGAGAGGGAUAUGCUCAGGACACACCUGAUGUUAAUUGGGGCGAUGAGAACACCCAACGCGGCGUCAACACAGGCCUCCGGGGAGCAUCAUAUGAUCUUGGCGUCCCGGUUACAUCAUUAGUUACAGAGUUCUUCGGAGGGGACGUUAUUGGCCCAUCUUUUAUCCCCGCGGAGUCACAACCAUACGCCUACAAUUACGCUUCAGGUUCGCAACAAGGAUUUGCGACUCCACCACCUACGCAGGACUCGCAGACACAUGAAGCCGAAUUGGAGUACGGCCGCGGUCUUCGUGUGACCCGGCCACCUAAUCGCUUGUCGCCUUCCGGUCGUAAGGAAAGGCCAGGUGGUCGUCGUAAAGUAGGGUGAUUCAUCUAUGCAUGUGCGCGACCCAUUGUAUCUACAUAUGUCUGUAUCAGACUUUUCAAUUUGAACAUCUAUGUAUGCUGAAAUAAAAAUGCACCAGUCAGGAACAA